AAGAUUAAGCCAUGCAUGUCUAAGUAUAAGCACUUUAUACUGUGAAACUGCGAAUGGCUCAUUAAAUCAGUUAUCGUUUAUUUGAUAGUACCUUACUACAUGGAUACCUGUGGUAAUUCUAGAGCUAAUACAUGCUAAAAACCUCGACUUCGGAAGGGGUGUAUUUAUUAGAUAAAAACCAAUGCCCUUCGGGGCUCCUUGGUGAUUCAUAAUAACUUAACGAAUCGCAU
rnacentral:rRNA from 1 species